UCAAGCUCCCUCUGACCCGCGACGCGACCCGACGACCCGAGAAAAAGACCCGGUAGGAACUCCUCCGUCCGACCAUAUCUCGCGGCGGACCACCGGCGUUCGCUUCGUCUCGACGACGCCGACGUGCCUCUGGCCACGGAUCAUCCAUGCACGGACUGUGGAGAGAGAUUCGAAGCUUGAAAGGUUUGAACUUUCCGGCGAUGCUUCUGCAAUUUCCGGCGACCUUCGGGGUUGUGUGAGGUAGGAAAACUAACCCUCUCCUUACGCUCUACGUGCUGGUAUAAGUGGUUCUCGAAUUCGAUUAAGUUUUGAUGAAUUUGUGUUUUGGGUGAUUUCGGGUAUCGACGGACCGCCGUCCAUGGCGGCGAUUCCAGGCUUCUAAUUUCGUUUCUGGCGUCUUGGAAAACCAGUUGAGGUGCGGGGAAGCUUGGUUCCUUGAAUUGGCGUUCGGGGAUGCUUUGGUCCUUGCUGCACUUCGGACUAGGAUGCGCUCUGCCCUCUGUUCGAAAUUCACCAAGCACAGUGGCUGCAAGUUUGCUUGCUCACGAUAUCUGUUAGCUCAGAUUAAGCUACUCUGAUUGUCAAAGGACUCCAGUUACCCGAGGAACGGAAGGUUCGUGAAUUUCGGACGACUUCGGAAUCCAGGUAGGGGAUUCGGGGCCUUUCUCGGUUAGUAGUUUUCCCGUUUUAUAUAAAGUGAAGCAUGAUGCAUGUUAAAUUAUAUGGUAUGGUUAUGUUUAAAUGCAAUGCAUACUAACCAUUCCGUGAGAGAUAUCGUUGAUGGCUUGAGAGCGAAGGGUGGCUCUGACUUCCUUGGGUUCGAUCCCCAAAACCUCCGGAGGGUUAGCUACACCGGUCGGACGGUGCGCGAUCGUAAUGACGACCCGAUUCCGUGUGUGUAGCUAGGUAGCGGACGCUCUCGCUACGCUUACCUGGUUAUGAAUUGAUUUGAGGUAAGGUCGUGUAGUUGGUCUAUGGGACCGGCCAUCAGGUAUUGUUUUGGGCCCGUAUUUACUUGAAGUUCAUGCAUCGUAU